UACGUAGGGUGCAAGCGUUUAAUCGGAAUUACUGGGCGUAAAGCGUGCGCAGGCGGUUUUGUAAGUCAGAUGUGAAAUCCCCGGGCUUAACCUGGGAACUGCGUUUGAAACUACAAGGCUAGAGUGUGGCAGAGGGGGGGUGGAAUUCCACGUGUAGCAGUGAAAUGCGUAGAGAUGUGGAGGAACACCGAUGGCGAAGGCAGCCCCCUGGGUUAACACUGACGCUCAGGCACGAAAGCGUGGGGAGCAAACAGG
rnacentral:rRNA from 1 species